UGACAUUGUUAAAGGGCCGCGGUAUUUUGACCGUGCAAAGGUAGCAUAAUCAUUAGUUCUUUAAUUGUGAUCUGGUAUGAAUGGCUUGACGAGACAUAGGCUGUCUUGGGUAUGAAUUUAUUAUUGAAUUUGGUCUUUGAGUUAAAAUUCUUAGAUGUUUUUAUGGGACGAGAAGACCCUAUAGAGUUUGACAUUAGGUUUGAUUUUGUUUGUGUUUGUUUUGUUGUUUAUUAUUUCUUUUUGUUUUGUUGGGGUGAUGGGAGGAAUUUUCUUAACUCCUCUUUGUUUUGGUAUAAUUAUUUUUAUUUAUUUUGAUCCAUUUAUUUUGAUUAUAAGAUUAAAUUACC
rnacentral:rRNA from 1 species